UCAUAUCAGAGAUUGCCACAGACACCCAGGGCAAUGUGAUUUGUCACUUAAAGAGGACGGCAGAUCAAGAGCAUCUCAUCCUCCGGCUGCUGAGUCAUCCUGCUCUGGCAGUUAUUUAAACAGAAGGCUCCAGGAGACAUACAAUCAACACUCCACUCAGACAAUGCCCAGACCUCCAGAAACCAUGUGUCAAGCUCGGAUUGCCUUAGACAGGUGCAAUUUAAGAACAGCUUUCAUCCUCUUUUCUCUCAUAUUGUCACACUAUGUGUUCUGACUUCUGGCUCCUUUCCUCACAAGAAGCUCACCCAGCUGGAACUCUUAUGGGACCUUGGCACCAGAGACCACAAAUUCCUCUUUGAAGUUUUCUAACAGCAACAAUGGUAUUUCUGACUUGGCUUUCUUGUAUUUCUCUCACGUUAACAAAAUUGGUUCAGCAUCUACCAUGGGCUACAUGCUGAGCUACAGAGUUUCGCUCUGUCGCCCAGGCUGGAGUGCAGUGGCGCGCGAUCUCGGUUCACUGCAAGCUCCACCUCCCGGGUUCACGCCAUUCUCCUGCCUCAGCCUCCUGAGUAGCUGGGACUACAGGCGCCCGCCACCACACCCAGGAAUCCAACUUGCUGUUUGCUAUCACAUGUGCUAUACAUGCUGUUGAUGAAACUGCUAAAGGGGCUGAAUGUGACUGACGUCUUUGGAAGGAUGAGACUUAGCGUGCCUGUACAGUUGUGUCCAAAUGCUGUCCUCAUCUCCCAAUGAAAAGCUGAACUAGGGCCAUGCCUGGGACAGACAGAGAAUGGCCUUCCAGCAGACAUGCCAAGAAGCAAGCCAGGGUCAGUGAGUGAAGAGGAGGGCAGGCCCAUUUGAAGCAACACAGUUUAUGUAAGUGUGAUCUAACUGCUUUCACUGGAAAUGGGUCAGACUCCAGUUGAGAGAACCAGGGGCCUGAAUGACCCCAGCAAAAUCACUGUGGCAAUUCUUUCAAUCACCUCUGAGAAUAUGGCCCUGUGACGACAUAAUGACGUUUGGAUUAAUUCCAGUCGGCUGUGUUUUCCCCUCCUUUCUUGCCUCCCCGUAGUUGAUUUGCCAAAUUUUUUUUGUUUGCUUAAAUACGCGGAACUAAACAGGAUACAUUAUAUGACAGUCUGUGAUAAAUUUACCACUGGGAAUAGGGAAAAAGUAUGGGAUAAAGAAAUAGGUAUUUUUCGCCUCUCACAGCUGUGAUUCAGUUCUGACUCAAAAGGAAGUGUGCCACCUACUGAAUCACAGAAACCACUUCCUGUGGCUGUUUGGUUUAUUCUGGAGGAGCAUCAGGCCAAGUGCUGCCCUGCCCUGACCCUGACUGGCUCUUCAGAGCCAAGGCAUUCACAGCUUGAGGUGGUUUGGCCUCAGACUCUUGAGAACAUUGCAUAUUAAAUUACAAGUGUUUCGUUUCCUAGCAAGGAGUCUUUAGCAACAUGAAAACGAACGUGUGUUAUUUGCAAACCAAGUAUAUCAUUACUGAACCUGAAUAUCCUUACUUUUUCAUAAGGUACGUAUUCCGGAUGACCACUCUUAAGAUCUGAAUGUACACUGGUUCUGUUUUUCCUGAGGGGAACUUGGGCAGUCUGCAGGGUGGCAUUUACCAGCUGAGGGACUUCAAGAGCACCCUUUAAUCAGUGUGGCAGCACUCAACUUGUAUUCACUCACUCAGAGUAUUUUUGAGCAUGUACUUAUUGCCAUGUGCUGUGCUAGGUAGGGGUAGAGGGUACAGUGGUGAACAAGACCCCACAGCUCCUGACCUCAUGGCUCAUGUGUUCUACACCAUAAGGGAAUCAAGCUGUGUCUCCCGGGGCAGGGGCCUUCCUCUGUUCACCAUGCAGCCCCAGCAUCUAGCACCUGGCGUUGCAUAAAGGAGGCUCUAAAUCAAGCUUGUCCAACCCAAGGCCCACGGGCCACAUGUGGCCCAGGAUGGCUUUGAAUGCAGCCAAACACAAAUUUGUAAACUUUCUUAAAACAUUAUAAGAUUUGUGUGUAUGUGUUUUAGUCCAUCAGCUAUUGUUAGUGUUCAUGUAUUUUAUGUGUGGCCCAAGACAAUUCUUCUAUGUGGCCCAAGGAAACCAAAGAUUGAACACUCCUGCUCUAAAUACUUGUUUGUUGAAUAGAUACAUGAAAAGAAAGAAGGAGAGAAGGAAGAAAGGAGGGCGGAAGGAAAGGAAGAAGGGAGAGAAGAAGAGAAGAAAGAAGCAGAGAAAGGAAGAGAAAAGAAAUUACGGCCAGUGCGGUGGCUCACGCCUGUAAUCCUAGCACUUUGGGAGGCCUAAGCGGGCUGAUCACCUGAGGUCAGGAGUUCGUAAGCCAGCCUGGCCAACAUGGUGAAACCCUAUCUCUACUAAAAAUACAAAAAUCAGCAGGGCAUGGUGGUGCGUGCCUGUAAUCCCAGCUACCUGGGAGGCUGAGGUAGGAGAAUCGCUGGAACCCGAGAGGCGGAGGCUGCAGUGAGUUGAGAUCAUGUCACUGCACUCCAGGCUGGGCAACAGAGUGAGACUCUGUCUCAGAAAAAAAAAAAAAGAAAGAAAGAAAGAAAGAAAGUUACCAUUAGUUUUUUGUUGUAUUUGCAAGCAAAGACAAAAGCACCAAGGUACUUGUUUCCUUCUGUAAUUAGAGUUUCAAAUAGACUAAAAGUUUCUGCUCUUAGGUGGGUCUAGAGACUCUCCAGUACCUCAGGACCUCAGGACACAUGGGGUCUCUUGGUUGUUUUCUUUUCAUUGUUGUUGUUUAUUUUAUUUUUGUUUUUAUUUUUUAACUUUAAAACAAUUUUUUGUAGAUGAAUAUGCUUACAUAUGUUUGGGGGUUUUUUUGAGACAGGGUCUUGCUCUGUUGCCCAGGCUGGAGAGCGGUGGUUUAACCACAGCUCACUGCAGCCUCGACCUCCCAAGGUAGGGACUGCAGGUGUGUACACUGGGGUGCACCACCACACCCAGCUAAUUUUUAAAUUUUUUUUUGUAGAUAUUGUCUCACUCUGUUGGCCAGACUGGUCUUGAAAUCCUGGGCUCGAGCAAUUCUCCUGCCUCGGCCUCGUAACGCGUUAGGAUUACAAGCGUGAACACCGCACCUGGCCAGCAUGUGGUCUCUUAACCAGAGGAGGCCUCUUCUGAACUAGGUAGAGGUCCUGAGAAUUGAUUCUGAGAGUAAAAGGCUCUUUGUUCUCCUCAGAGUAGAUUAGAAUCCCUAAUGAUAGAGCAUCUAUUAUUCCUCUAGUGGUCCAUGCCCAACAGAUUCAUCCAAGAAUAGAUGAAGAUCUUUGUAAUGUUGUGCAAGUAAUCUAAUCACCCCACAGAAGAGCUGUGACUUAAAUUAUCCCAGAGUCGGCCCACCUGUUUUCAUAAAGAUCAAUGUAACUUGUAAAUUUCUUCAGUUCUCCUCACCUAUCAUCAUUUGACUAACAAAACCCAGAAAACUAGGCUAGUUAUGGUGGCCUAUGCAUAUAAUCCCAACUCUUUGAGAGGCCAGGGUGGGUGGAUUGCUUGAGUCCAGGAAUUCGAGACCAGCCUGGGCAACAAAGGGAGACCCUGCCUAUAUCCCAGCUAUGCAGGAGGCGAGGCCAGAGGAUUGCCUGAGCCUCAGAGGUUGAGGCUGUAGUGAGCCAUGAUUGCCCCACUACACUCCAGCCUGGAUGACAGAGUGAGACCCUGCCUUAAAAAUAAUAAUAAUAGUAAUAAUAUUUCAUAAAGAUACAGGAAACUAGAUUAUAAUUGACAUUUUCAAAGUGAAAUACUGUCUAGAAUGGUGCUUGGCCAACAGUAAGCUUUUUGUAAGUGGAAGUCAUUACUACUACUAUUUCUUUCAUUAUUAUUACCAUUACUACUUUUUUUUACAAAAAAAAAACCCUGGACAACACACUGAAACCAUUACUACUUCUACUACUAUAACUUAGGUUGCACCUGAUAGAGCCAGCAAUUUUUCCAAGGUAUGACAAUGGCCAUAUGUUUAAUGAUAUAAUUCUAUGGCUCAGUGUAUCUCAGCCUUUUUAAACCCUGCUCUUCUUUUGACAAUUGUAAAAAUCUUAAACUGACCUCCAGUUGAAAUCCUCUGUCAAGAAGAUAUUGUCGGCCAGGGGCGGUGGCUCACACCUGUAAUCCCAGCACUUUUGGAGGCCGAGGUGGGAGGAUCACUUGAGGUUAGGAGUUCAAGACCAGCCUGGCCAACAUAGUGAAACCCCAUCUCUACUAAAAAUACAAAAAUUAGGCAGGCAUGGUGGUGUGUGCCUGUAAUCCCAGCUACUCAGGAGGCUGAGGUAGGAGAAUUGCUUGAACCUGGCAGGGCAGAGGUUGCAGCAAGCCGAGAUCACGCCACUGCUCUCCAGCCUGGGUGAGACUGUCUCAAAAAAAAAAAAAAAAAAGAAAGAAAGUAAGAAAAAGAAGAAAUCCCAAUCUCUUCUUUUAUGUGGAUUCUUCCUCACUUGAAUAAUACUUUUCUUCCCCAGUAUUCUCCAUAUUAUCCCAGAGUCAGCCCCUCUGUUUUUGUAAAGAUCUACGUAACCUCCUCUAAGUUUCCCAGUUCUCCUCACCUAUCAUAUCAUUUGGCUCAACAAAGGGCAGGAAGCUAGAUUCUAAUUGAUAUUUUGAGGCCGGGAGCAGUGGCUCAUGCCUGUAAUCACAGCACUUUGGGAGGCUGAGGCGGGCAGAUCACUGGAGGUCAGGAGUUCGAGACCAGCCUGGCCAAUAUGGUGAAACCUCGUCUCUACUAAAAAUACAAAAAAUUAGCCAGGCUUGGUGGCUUGUACCUGUAAUCCCAGCUACUCAGGAGGCUGAGGCAGGAGAAUAGCUUAAACCUGGGAGGAAGAGGUUGCAGUGAGCCGAGAUUGCUCAAUUGCACCCCAGCCUGGGUGACAGAGCAAAACUCCAUCUCAAAAACAAACAAACGAACAAACCUGAUAUUUUCAAAAUUGAGGCAAUUAUAACAGCUAUUUAGCCAAGCAUUAUGAUAGCAAUAAUAGCAAGAAAAUAAAUUAGUUAACAAAUGAGUCUCAGAAGCCCAAUGAUUUUUAUUUUAUUUUUAUUUUUUGAACUUUUAUUUUAGAAUCAGGGGAUACAUGUGCAGGUUUGUUACCCGGGUAUAUUGCAUGAUGCUGAGUUUUGGAGUAUGCAUGAAUCCAACCUGUCAUCCAGGUAGUGAGUAUAGUACCCAACAGAUAGUUUUUUUAACAUUUACUUCACUCCCUUCCCCAAUCUUGUAUUCCCCUGUGUCUACUGUUCCCAUUUUUAUGACUGUGCCAACAAUAAUUUUUUUUCUUUUUUCUUUAAAUAGAGAUGGGGGUCUCUAUUUAAAGAGCCUCCCAAAGUGCUAGGAUUACAGGUGUGAUCCAUUGCACCUGGCCCAUGCCAACAAUAUUUGAAACCCUUAUCUGCGUGUACAAGUUUGCUACUGGUUUUGUUUUGCUCAUUAAUACAUCCCAAGCAUCUAUACCUGGCUUGUAGUACCAGCAUGUAGUAGGUGCUUAAUAAAUAUUUAUUGAAUAAAUAAAUUAGUUUGACAUUAGUUUAACAUCUCAAGUAAAACAAAAUACCAUUCAAUUAAUUCUCUUCUUCUACUUUUUUCUUUUAAGAGAGACAAAUAGUCACACAUACAUCAGCAGGAGAGGAUACAAUUUCCUGUGUUUAAGUUUUUAUGAGUUACUUUAGUUCAAAUGUCACAGAAAAUUAUAUUGAACUCUUGACCAAUCUAUCUAUUUUUUCCAUUGGAGUAUUGACCCAAAUAAGAAAUAGCAUAAAGGAAAAAUUAUUUUUUGGCAGAAAAAUAUUCUCUCUAAAUUCUUGUGUGUUUUGUUUUGAUUUUUUCCUUAGUGACUGGAGGCCAGUUUCAAUCCACUGAAGCACAGAUUCCAAAUUUUCAAUCUGGUUUUCUUGAGUAGUGACUGAGUGCCAAAAAUGAAGCAAUGACACAACAUCACCAUCAAGACACUCCCCAGCACGCACACACAUGCCAGAGUCCAACACCAAGAUACUCCCCAGCACGCACACACACGCCAGAGUCCAGGCCAUAUUCGGGUGGCUUGCAAGCUUCUUCCCCCCAAGUAUUUACUCUCAAAAUAAUGGUUUUUGUUUUGUUUUGGUUUGGUUUGGUUUGUUUUUUUCCAAAUACAUUUCUUCCCUAUAUCUUUAACCAAUUCUCAUAAAAUUUUGUCUAAUACACUGGUCAGUGUAUUCCAGACCCUAAAAGAUAACAUAAUGAAACUAUCUAUGACUAAAAGGUAAUCAGGAUCUUCUACUUAUCCUUUUUUCCUCCCUCUUAAACUUUAAUUUUGAUACAUUUGGGAGUGAAAUGAUGACAAUAAAUGCAAAGUAAUUAUUGAAGAAACAGUAAUUUUGUAUUAGCUUACUGAAAAAAAAAAAAAAGAUAACCAAAUAUAUUUUGGCAGCCCCAAACGAGUCACAUGUGAAAUGCAGUGGGAGAGCAGUGUCCUGAAGGAAAAGGUGGCCUGCUGGACAGCCAAGAGAACAAACAUCCACUGCAAGUAAUAUGAGCUCUAAGUUUGGACUAGGCCUAUGUCUGCUCUGAGACUUGGGGCAAUUCACUUAAUCAGAGCCUUAAUCAGCUACGGACUAGCAAUAUCCAUACCCGCUACUUAUUUUGUAAAUCUCCUUUCUAAAGUUAACUCUAUUUAUUGUUCCAUAAUCCCAUAAAUUCUAGAAUCUUUUCCUGUUAUAGCCAAGUUGUCUAUCAUUGACAGAGAUAUUCACCUGGUUGUUUUGGCUUCUCUAAUCCUCCUGGUGAGAACACCUCCAAGGGAGCUUUCAGUGGCAUUUAAGGUCACUUGUGCUCUUGGUCCUAGAAACUGCCUUGAUAGUGGUUUUAGCUCACAUGAGGUAAGUCUUUAUUAUAUGCCCAACCUCUUUAUGCAUUACUUCAUUUAAUUGUAUACUAAUCCUUUGUCAUAGGUUAUCAGAGUGUUUGAUUAUAAGUUACAGGAAGAAAAAAAAAAACAAACUCCAAUUGACUAAAACAAUGGGGCAUUUUUUGACUCACAUAACAGAGAGUCUAGAGAGAAGGCACCUUCAGGUUUGGCUGAUGAAUCCUGUAUCUCUGCCUUGUCUCCAGGCCCCCAGGUUCUGCCUCUGUCCUGACAUCCAGUGUUGGAUUCCUCUUCACAUCAACUCCUCUCUGUAGGUUGGGCCAUCAGACCCUACCUCCUUAUUUAUGUUGAGCAAAGGAGAGAGAAUGCCUCUACAAACAAUGAAAAAAGUGAAAAAAAAAAUCUUUCUCCUCCUUAUAACUUUAGUUAGCUUAACUUUAGUCAGUUGCUUAGCUACUAAACAGUAGCUAUUGGGAGGUGGGAAGGAAUACUAUUGUGUAAUCAACUAAGGCUCAUACAGAGGAUUAGGGUUAUCUGAAUUGAUUUGAAUUAAUUAGAAUUUACUCUCAGAGCUGUGGCAAUUCCUUGAACCACACUGAUUGCUAUAAAGUGGAAGAGGAAUAGAUUGAAUUUUGGGGAGUCAACUACAAUGUGUACUACAGGUAAAAAACCCAUCAGAAGAUGUCAGAAGAUAAGGAUUUUUGUCCUGAUGCUACACUUACCAGCUGUCCCUCAGUGUUCUACUUCUUAAAAAAAGAGAGGUUGGUCCUGAUCCCUGGUUCUUAACCAGGGGAAAAUGAAGUGGGGCCAGGGCAUGUGCAGACUUAAAAAUUACACAGGGGAAUGUAGGCACGAUCUGUUUAAGAAAUACUGGACUAAAUGGUCUCUAAUCUGUGAUUGUAGAUUAAAGAAUAAUCUACAAUCUACACCGUGUUGGCCAGGCACGGUGGCUCACACCUGUAAUUCCAGCACUUUGGGAGGCUGAGGUGUGUGGAUCACAUGAGGUCAGGAGUUCGAGACCAGCCUCACCAAUGUGGCAAAACCCCCUCUCUACUAAAAAUACGGAAAAUUAGCUGGGUGUGGUGGUGCAUGUCUGUAGUCCCAGCUACUCGGGAGGCUAAGGCAUGAGAAUUGCUUGAACCUGGGAGGUGGAGGUUGCAGUGAGCCAAAAUCACGCCACUGCACUCCAGCCUGGGUGACAGAGUGAGACUCUGUCUCAAAAAAAAAGAAAAAAUAAAUAAUCAAAUGUAAAGUUAGCACAUAAAGGAGGCAUGUACAUAUUAUUAAAAUCUAUAUGACUACCUCUCCUUUUUCAUUUUUGGCUCAAUAUCUGUAUCUGAACACCUAAUUAAUGAAAGGAAAACAUUUGUAAUAUGUAGCAACUAAAAUGUCACCUUCUCUGUGGGGAUCACAAAGUCCUUGGCAAUCACUUCCAUACCAGACAAGUGAGUAUUGUCCUUCUCCUUUUCCAGAUGGAUAAACAGAGGCAACCCGAGGAUAAAGGCCUUGCUCAGUGUCACACAUUUCAGUCACUAAAUAAGACACAAUGGAUGCCAGUAUUCUCAUCCCCUCACAAAUAAAGAGCCUUCAAGCUCUUGCAGUCAACAAGAACUUUUGGAAUGAUUUCACUGCCUGAAAAGGCAGAUACAUAGGUGACACCCACAAAUAGGAAGAAAAUCAACCUGAACCUGAGUGUGUGGGCUCACUGACUCUAAGCAGUAGAGACAGAAGAAAAAGUUUUAGCAAAGAAGGGUUCUGAAAGAAAAUAAAUAUAGCUCGUUAUCAAGUGCUGUUUUUACACAGUAAAACAUGGGCAAAAUUACUCUUCUUUAAGUAGUAAUUCUUAUCUCUUGAUUAAGUCACCUACUCAUUCAUUUAAUAAAUACAUACUGAUUGUUUUCUAUGUGUUGAGCACUCAUCUCUGUAUUGGAAAUAUAAUAAUGACCAAAGUUGACAAUAGUAAUAACAAUAAUAGCUAAUAUAGCAGGCACUAAUAAUUAUUUGUUGAGUAAUAUGUCAAAAUUCAGUGUGAACAGCAUUCUAUUUGGGGCUGCAUCCACUGACUAUAACACAGCUAAUCUAUCUGAAAUGUUCCAGCUUUGGGCCUCUCUAACAGAAGAAGCUGUUGUUGGGCCUGCCUCUAGUUGGCGAUGCAUCCACCAAUGAGAAUGAAUUUAUGAUCGACCACUCUUCCUGUAAAGGCCGCUGGAACUGACAGCAUUGUGAUUUUCUUUUACUGUUAGUUUUAAAUUACUAGAACCAACUCAAUUACUAGAACGAACUUUACUUCUUUGUUUCCUACUUAUCAAAACAGUAAAAACAACAAGUAAAAGAAAUGCCAUCUUAAUAUUGUUUUGAUGACAAAACAGUAUUCCUUUUAGUUGUGCUUCAAAUGGAAUAAGAUGCAAACAGGCUUGGUAUGGUGGCUCACCCCUGUAAUCCCAGCCCUUUGGGAGGCCAAGGUGGAAGGAUUGCUUGAGGCCAUGAGUUUGAGACCAGCCUGCGCAACAUAGCAAGACCGUGUCUCUACAAAAAAUAAAAAAUUAGCUGAGUGUAGUGGUGUGUGCUUGUGGUCCCAGCUACUUUUGAGGCUGAGGAGGGAGAAUCUCUUGAGCCCAGAAGGUCGAAGUUGCAGUGAGCCGUGAUCGUGCCAUUGCUCUCCAGCUUGGACAACAAAGCAAGACCCUAUGUCAAAAAAUAAAUAAAUAAAAGACAUAAACAUAUCUGAGAUUAACUUUCAGUGGUAAAUUUGUUCCAUAUAUGAUUUUUAAGGUUAAAUGCUUUGGAAGCUUUAAAAACCAUUUCAGCCCUUUUAAAUGCCAACUUACACUGAUGAUGCUCUCAGAUGUUAGGAAAUCUUUUGAGCAGAAAAUGGAAGUGGGGGUGUUGAGGCAGGGAGGAGAGUGAUGCAAUAUUCCUUAGUGUCAUCCUGUGAUUUCACAAUUUGUUUUUCAAUCUGUUUGGACUUUCAAAAGGGAAGACUCUCAUAUGUCAACAAGCCCAUGAACUGAAGCUUAAAACACUGGAAACAACAACUGUAGAGUUUCAAGUAUAUGUACAUUUAUGUAUUCAUGUUCCUUGAUGGGAAUGCUGGCUGGUGUGAAUGUUCAAUCUCCUGAGAAAUGUAAAUUUUUCUCUGACAGAUUUAUUAGCUUGCUGUAUCUGAGCACAUGAGCAAAAACAAUGCCUAAUAAGAAAACUUUCUCUCUCCUUCAAAGUCAAACUUGGGAGAAAUGAAGGGAAAUCGAGUUUUCUUUGCUUGACAGUGUUCAACAUUCUUGUAGUCAGUGUGCUCAUGAAGAUUGCAAACUUUUUUUUUUUUUUAGAGCAGCUAGGACUACAGGCGCGCACCACCACACCCAGCUAAUUUGUGUAUUUUUAGUAGAGAUGGGGUUUUAACUAUGUUGGCCAAGCUUGUCUCAAACUCCUGACCUCAAGUGAUCCAUUCGACAGCUCUUUCUUUUUUUUUUUUUUUUUUGAGACAAAGUCUCGCUCUGUCACCCAGGCUGGAGUGCAGUGGUAUGAUCUCAGCUCACUGCAACCUCCGCCUCCUGGGUUCAAGCAAUUCUCAUGCCUUAGCCUCCCGAAU
rnacentral:lncRNA from 1 species